GCGCGAAAACUUUACAAUGCUGGCAACAGCGAUAAGGGAACCUCGAGCGCCAGGUUACAAAUCUGGCUGUCGAGAUGCCUAAAAAGCAUUUCAUAGCAAGGGCCGGGCAAGACCGGUGCCAGCCGCCGCGGUAACGCCGGCGGCUCGAGUGGUAACCGUUAUUAUUGGGUCUAAAGGGUCUGUAGCCGGCCGGAUAAGUCUCUUGAGAAAUCUGGCAGCUUAACUGUCAGGCUUUCAGGAGAUACUGUCUGGCUCGAGGCCGGGAGAGGUGAGAGGUACUUCAGGGGUAGGGGUGAAAUCUUGUAAUCCUUGAAGGACCACCAGUGGCGAAGGCGUCUCACCAGAACGGACCUGACGGCAGGGGACGAAAGCUAGGGGCACGAACCG
rnacentral:rRNA from 1 species